CUGAGCUCAAUUUUGAGUCUCAUAGCAAAGGGGCUGAAUACUUAGGAACUGGCCAAUCUGUGGAAUAAAAUAGAGUGAUGGUCCAGGGCACUCCGUCAACAGAACCUCCACCUAUGUUCCCAGCUUGACCUGAUGUUUCUGAAGAAGGUUGAGGUUGGAUAAAUCCAGAUGGAGGUUCGAGAAAUGGCAGGGCUAAUGGCCUAUAUGUACCCAAUGGAGACAACCUCUCUGCCAGACUGCUUUCUAGAGCCAGUACCGUUGGUGUCUGCCUGCCUAUCCUCCUACUUACUGGCUCUGCUACUUGUGGUGUCGUCUGAAUGUACAUUAGCAGUGACCUUCGAGAAAGGUGUAGGAAAAACGAAUGAUG
ensembl:lncRNA